rnacentral:sRNA from 1 species
UGUGCGUUGAAGCCGGAGACCGCGGCGGCCUCAGCGAGGACCCUCCGCCCCGGAGCCGCCGGCCGGAGCCGCAGCCUCUGCCGCAGCGCCCCCGCCACCUGUCCCCUCCCCCGCCGCCUCCGCCGGAGCCGCCUCGCGCACUCUGGGGUAUGGCCGUCAAUGUGUACUCCACAUCUGUGACCAGUGAAAAUCUGAGUCGCCAUGAUAUGCUUGCAUGGGUCAACGACUCCCUGCACCUCAACUAUACCAAGAUAGAACAGCUUUGUUCAGGGGCAGCCUACUGCCAGUUCAUGGACAUGCUCUUCCCCGGCUGUGUGCACUUGAGGAAAGUGAAGUUCCAGGCCAAACUAGAGCAUGAAUACAUCCACAACUUCAAGGUGCUGCAAGCAGCUUUCAAGAAGAUGGGUGUUGACAAAGUAGGUGCCUGCGCUCCGGGGGGCCCUGAGGAGCAGUGUGACCCUGGGGAAGAAGAGGACCCACCAGCCCAGGCAACUGGGGCUGCUGGGGUCAUUCCGGUGCUCGUGCCUCCCUCCACCUCCCGACUCUCCAGAGGGAAUUCUCCCCCUGCUCAAGGCACAAUGGAAAAGCCCACAACACUUGCCAUGCCAUCAUGACAACAUUCCUUUCCCUUCCUCCUCUCUGGACCCUGCCCACCCCAACACUGAGCUCUGUGCACCGCUCCUGUGAAGUUCCACCUCUCUCUGUCUCUGUAGGGCCCAAGAAAAUGUCUCUGCUCACUCUACUGCCUCGGUGGCUGCAGACCCCCAGCCCACACGCAGGCAGUAGAGCCAAGGGACGCCUCCCCACACAGUUCUUCCACACGGUGCCUGUAGAGAAGGGAUGCCUCUGGAUCUGACACUAGGGCCUACCAGCCUACCUGUCUGCUCUGGUGCCGUGGGAGGGGGGCAAGUGGAGAAGUGGAGGACGCUGCAGCCCAGGGGCUGGCUUUCCUGAGAGCAGUGGCCCUCAGCAGAGGAAGGCGGCCCUACAGCAGCAGGUGGCUAAAGUACUCUGCUUAUGUGGUCUAUUUCAGAUCAUUCCUGUAGAGAAAUUAGUGAAAGGAAAAUUCCAAGAUAAUUUUGAGUUUAUUCAGUGGUUUAAGAAAUUCUUUGACGCAAACUAUGAUGGAAAGGAUUACAACCCUCUGCUGGCGCGGCAG